AGAUUAUUUAAAAAAUAAAAUAAUUAUUGUCGGUCUUAAAAAAAAUAAAAAUAAAAAGUGGGUUUAUUUGUAUUACACAGUUAAUUGCUUCGCAGUGGGAAGGUCACUUUAAACCAAUGGUGAGAGUUCUGCUUUAAAAUCGUGCUCGUUACCCCGCUAAUCAUUAAAAGUAGUUGGUUAUGCUUGGAUUUCACCACUUGUUGACAGCAUUUUCAGCCGAUCGGAGCCUUUACAACGCCGCUUAAUUUCUCACGCUUUCGCACUGCUGGCAUGAGGCGCAGAAACAAGCAAACGAGACGCCGUCAUUCCGCGAAACAUUUGCGCACGGGUGGAAUCUAGGGAGUACUUGUUGCGAGCCAUACGGCGGAGGCAGCGUCCCGGAGCUGUCAAAUACUGCGCACAACCUUGAGUCUUCAGUGGAAUAACCAGACUAAUCCAUCAGACCAGCAGCUCAGAAGAUUAACCUUUUUUUCCUUCCUUUUAAUUUUAUUCUAUUUUAUUAUUUUUAAUUUUUUAGCUUCGGAAAAGUAGUUUUUGUCCGCGAAACCGGAAACCUGAUUUUAAAAUCACGAUCUUUUUUUCUCUCGCUUUUUUUGUCACAUGGCUUUGGAGAAUUCAAUAACAACAAAAAAUGGCGACAAUCACGUUGCUCUGUGUGGUCUUGCUGCGUCAUUAAAAAUAUUCAUGUAAACACGGGGCGUUAAACAGGGGGAUUGCAGUGCCCCUGUGCAGUGGGGCUAAUGGAGUUGUUUACAUGAAGUACGGAGGGCGGGCAGACGACGAGGAGGAGGAGCAGCUACGGCCAGCGACGCGACCGGACUGCUCGAGAGGCUUCUCGCGCCGCGCGCGCGGGGGAGGGAGGGGGAAGGGGAGGAACCCGCGAGGAGAAUCAUAACAAGUCUGACAUCACUCGGCCUUGUGCUGGUACGAAUAGCCUAUGUACAGUAGGCAGUUUGUGUCGAAGAAGUCAUGGCGGGAAGGCGGUGAGGGAGUGCAGUGUUGUUGUUUCAAGAUGGGAAACGUUAGCUAGCCUUUGUGUGUGGCAAAUGGAAACAAAGAUGAAAAACCCGAGUGGUUUUGUUUUUUUUAUGUGGAACGAGGACUACGACUAACUAAGCGGAUCAAACCGCAUGCGCAGUCUUGUGCAUGAUUAAUUGCCCCCGCCCCCUUUUCAAGGCAGGUAAAACCCCUGUGAAAAAAAAUCGUCUUUCCUUCUUUUCACAGCUUUCCACCGAGGCACCCGUGACUCUCACUGUGCAGCUCUCAUACCUGAGCAAGGAAAAAAGGGUGUAGAAACAUUAUUAGGAUAUAGCUUAAUGCAUCGAUAAGUGAGGGGCAUUAGUUUGAUUGUGCAGGUGGUAAAAAACAAAAAAGCCUGAAUAAACUGACACACUACUGUAGCAUCAUCUGGCUCUCAGAUGGAUUUCAUACAGAAGACGCCUGGAUGAGGAGGAUCCUGUGACUGUAACUGUCUGCAACUUUACACAUGGUCCAGAUAUUUGUUUCUCUUAAACAUAUAGGUUGUUUUGUUUGCUUUUCCCCCCUCCCUCUGUCUGACUUUAUUAUUUUACCAGUUUUCUCAUGUUUAGAGAGCUGAAGACCAUUGGUGUAAAGGACACUUUAUAAAUAUCACAUGUUGCGUUACAUGGUUGUUAGUGUGUAAAUGAAAGGUUAUUUCAAGUGAUUCAUUUGUAAGCAAAAGAAAUUUGCAAAACUUGCUUUGCAUGAGGAGAAAACGAGCUGCAAAAAAUGCAAAUGGAAUGUUAUCUUUGCACCUGCUGACCUACAGCAAGGAUUUUAUUGGUGGAUGACAAAGUGGAGUGAAGUCUUGGACUGCUAGAUUUGACAGGCUGCCCUGGUUCAGUUAUCACAGUGCUGAUGCUGUCCCCAUCGAAGGUACAGUACUGUGAUAACUGAAGGAUGGCUGCCAACUUGACACUAGUGCAGUGGUCAAAGUGGCACAUUCGGCUAACGAGGCAGAAGAACCAAAGAGAAGGUGGACAAGUGUGGGUAUGUAAACGGCAUUUGUUGUGAUAUGCUGAGUAAUAAAGUUUGUAAAGGAUG